CUGCCACUACAGAAGGGGAGCAGAGCCCACAGAAAUCUAGAGCUAAAGGGGCAUUUCUGGCCACCAUGAGCAAGAGGAGGACCAGCCCGGAAGUCUCUCCAAGAGCCCCAAAGUCCAGGAAUCCCCACCAAAGGAUUCAGAAACAGCGCCCACAGUCCGGGGCCCCUCUGAACGCGCCCCCACCCCGGAGUUCACCCCGAAGCGUGCAGCCGCUUCUGUGAAGAGGCCAGAGUUGAAG